rnacentral:tRNA from 1 species
GAGCUCGAUUGCUAAUCGAGUAUACAGCUCCCUGUACCGAGGGUUCGAAUCCCUCUCACUCCG